rnacentral:rRNA from 1 species
GAUGAACGCUAGCUACAGGCUUAACACAUGCAAGUCGAGGGGAAACGAUAGAGAAAGCUUGCUUUUUCUAGGCGUCGACCGGCGCACGGGUGAGUAACGCGUAUCCAACCUGCCCAUCACUUGGGGAUAACCUUGCGAAAGUAAGACUAAUACCCAAUGACGUCUCUAGAAGACAUCUGAAGGAGAUUAAAGAUUUAUCGGUGAUGGAUGGGGAUGCGUCUGAUUAGCUUGUUGGCGGGGUAACGGCCCACCAAGGCGACGAUCAGUAGCCGGACUGAGAGGUUGAACGGCCACAUUGGGACUGAGAUACGGCCCAGACUCCUACGGGAGGCAGCAGUGGGGAAUAUUGGGCAAUGGGCGCAAGCCUGACCCAGCAACGCCGCGUGAAGGAAGAAGGCUUUCGGGUUGUAAACUUCUUUUGUCAGGGAAGAUGAACAGACUGUACCUGACGAAUAAGCCACGGCUAACUACGUG